AUGUCUGCAAAAUCACUCAUCUCUUACUGUCCCGACCAUUUUAUUUCUUCUCCAUGCUUGUAAAAGCUGGGACCCUCCUCGCCAGCUCUGCAGCAGUUUGAAACCUGAGAUGCUGCGCUGGAACACUUCCACAACUUCAGAUCAUUUAACACUCUAAUGAGAUGCCUUAAAAAUACAAACGAGCCACCUGAUACGGCAGGAUGCAAACCUGUCUCCAUGGCAGUGAUUUUCCUGAAGAUGCUUUUCAUCUCUGGCUGCUGGAAGCUUCGACGUAAAAAUUUAUCGUGCGCCCUCCUCUAAUAAAAUGUGAUGGUUUUACUGUA